GCGACUGCUGGGCACCGGGCGGCCCCGCGCCCCCGCCUCAGGCGGCCGGCCGGGCCCGGCUGCGCGCGGAAGCCGCCUUCGGUACCGUCGCUCGCACGCCUCGUUCCCGGAGACAAGUUUCCUGCUUGUUUCAGUCUCAAGCUGUGGUCAGGAGUAUACUUCUCAACAUCAUCUGCAUUUGUUGAAGCAGAAAAAGAAUUUGUUUUACCCAUUAGAUGAGCACUCAGCUCACUUCAGAGCAGCCAAGGACACUCCAACAGCAAUGUUUUAGUCACAUACCACCUUUCCAAAAGGGAAUUUUAAUUUGGAGGUGAACAUAUUUGAAGACUUUGUAAAGAAAGCAUGCACAUUUCACUUAUUCUCUGUCAGUGCCUACGGUAAUGACUGGAAAUGAUAGACCAGGGAUCUCAACAAGCUUUUUAUGCGUGGCUGUGCAAAGGCAGAACAUGAUUCCUCCAAAGAUUUGCAGUUUUGUGGAAAAGGAAGAUCACAGACUGCAUUUUUCUAUAAACAUUAUUCUCGUGGCCUUUUCAGGCUUUUCUCCUGAUUUGAAGUUUUCGUCUAUCCAGUCCAAGAACAGAAACAAACCCCUAGGCAUUACACAGUCAAAGAGGCAACACAGCUUUGCACAGCUAAGGCUGUGUUCAGAAUAUGGAGUAUCGUGAACAACCACCGUUUCACUACUUACCCCCCCCACGCACUUGCUUUAACAUUCUUAGUGCUAUUCCACCUAGAAGAAGGAAGAAACCAAGCCUAUCUCUUUCCUAGGCCUGAGUUGUGACAGUGGGUCUGUUUCCCACGGGACCUGAGCAGGCUGCUGAAAUGGGCCUGCUGGUAUCUCAUAAAGUUCAACAAAUUGAAAUGCAAAGUCCUUCACCUGGGGUGGAACAGCCCCAUGUACCAGGAGAGGCUGUGGAGCGACCUGGUGGAAAGCAGCCCUGCAGAGGAGGACUUUGGGGUCCUGGUGGACAAGUUUGACAUAGAACAGCAAUAGCACCCUCACAGCAAAAAAGUCCAACAGCAGCGUGGGCUGCAUUAGGAAGAGUGUCACUAGCAGCUCAGGGGAGAUGAUUUUUCCUCUCUACCAUGUAAAUAAUAACAAUUUACAUUCUAUUCCUAGAUAAACCAGGAUAGUGCUCUUGCAGUUUGUGGCUUGCACAUCCUUCCUUAUGCAUGUUAGAUCGCUAGCUGAUUCCUUAAAGAUCAGAGGAAAAGAGUUCUGACUAAAAGCUGGCAAAAUGUAGUUCUUAAAAUUAAUUGCAGGAUUAACCUACUUGCUUUUGGAUGGAAAGCUCCCAGAAUCUUUCCAACACCAAUACUCAGCAGCAACAUAACAAAUUACCAUGGAUCAGAUGAUGCUUCCACUAAAAUCAGUGGAAUUUUUGCUGUUGACUUGAACUGAAAACAACAGUGAAUCCUAGCUGCGUGUUUCAGAAAACAGAAAUAUUCCAUCAUCACCCUUGAAACAAAGUAAAUGCCCCAGCCUGCUGAGCAAGAUCGCUCUGGUGAAGAUGUUAAAAGGGUGCUAGAGGAGGUGACCAGAAGCAGGGUGUACUCAAGCCUCAGAUAAAUUUCUUUGUGGAAACUGCUGAUAAAGCCACAUUUGAAAUUAUAUGCUGGGCUAAGAACAGGAACAGCUGAUGUGCCAGCACACAGCCCUUGCCAUUCCCCGCUGAGGCAGUGGUGAUCCCGGAAGAGCUGGAGAAACGCUGUGACAAGCCUGUGGGUUGAAGCACCACAGCCAAAUUCCCCAGAGCUUACCUGCCAUACCCUGCACUCCAGGAGACCACACUGCUACAGUCUGUUGGUCACCAUGAAACCCGUAAAACUGUUUGUACGUGAGUUAAUUGCCAGACUGGGGUAAGUAAAGGAUCUUGCUGCCUCCCUCGUUAGAUCCCUCAAGCACUCUGUUUGCUUUGUUAUUCUUCUUUUCUGAACUAUUUUGCUGUUUUGUCACGGGGAAUUGAAAAGCUUUUCCAGGCUGAACUGAACCCAGGCUGAACUGUACUUACGUAUCUUUUACCUGAAAUGGAAUAUGCCACAGACUAUAAGGCAUUAUUGUACAACUGUUUUCUUUUCAAGUUUCAAGACAGAGGUCAAAAGGAUAUAAACCAAUGGAAUAAACCAGGGGUGGAGAUGAAAUAGCUCAAGAGCAGCUGGACACAAUCUCAAGUGUUUAGGAUGUCUGUUUUUUUUGUUGUUGUUUUGUUUUUUUUCAUAUUGAUUAUCUUCAUUCAUAGUAGAGAUGUCAAUCUAAUGGUACAACAGAAUCAGCAUUUUUAGAAGUGAUCUCUUAUUCAGAUACCUUCAUUCCCCUGUUGGUUUUGCUCUGAGAGGAACCAAUCACAGCUUGUCGCAGCCUAGUAGCCUCGCACUUAAAAAGAUUAUUUUAGAUGACAGCAUAUUUGCCCUUUCUAUUCUUCCACUCCUUUAACCUACACAAAGGGAUAGUAGAGGACACGACAUUUUGCAGGUCCCUCUGUGUGUUUCCACUAGACUGACAGAGAAAGGUAAUUCCUUUGUCCCCAGGGGAAUCUGUGUCAGACCUAUCUCUGGGCACCACACCCACCUCUGGCCACCAGACCCUGUGGUCUCCGUUUCUCUCUGUCUCUUCAACCCUUCUAAUUUGCUGGUUUGUGUGUGUGUCUGUUUUCUUAUGGUAGCCAUGAGAUUCCUGUAAUGAAUGUGAAGAUCUGGCCCAUGUUUCUGAACAAAUCCUUCUCCAAAGCGGGCAGUAGAACCAGGAAGUUCCCUUCCUUAUUCCUGGUGUUUUAAGGGGGACAGGAGAGGAGGGGCAGGUUACUGAAUAUCAGUAAUCCUUUUUUCCAUCCUGGUAACUCCCUAUACUUUGAAUGCAGAAACUAAAAGAAGGGUGGAUUUCUUAAGAAAUCAUCUUAAAAUGCUUUCUUUUUUAAAGUGUGUAUGUAAAAAAUAUAUAUCCAAUUCCAAAUUCCAUAUAUCCAUAUAUAUAUAUCCAUAUUCCAAGUGCUUAAGAAAGCAUCUUAAAAUGCUUUCUAAUUCUGUGAAAAUCGAAACUUUUGGAAGAAGUGCUUGGAAAGCUUCCUUCCACCCUCAAAUGUCGUAGGGCUCACCAGAUCCUGUUAUUAAGGAGUCUUUCAGUGCAGAUGUAAUGUGUGAAGUCUAAUACUCUACUGGAGGUGGAAAGGGUGCGUGCAUAUUUGUGUGUGCGCUCACAUAAAUAACUAGGUGGCUUUCAGUAAUUUGGAUGGCAUUCAAAGAUUUUAUCGUGGGUACUAGGCUGUCUUAAUAAUUGUGCAUGGAGGACUCCUCAUCACACCUCAUCUGAAAAUGGAAACCCACUCCUUUAAAGGUCAUCUUUCCAGGCACAGAAAGCUUCCCUGCAGUCCACCCUGACACACAGGAAAACACCCAGAGACUUCCAAAUUACACAAAUUAGCAGUUGAGAAAGAGAACUAUCCCUUCGAGCUGUUUUAACUACAUGAGCUCACUAUUGAGCUCACUGUUUUUUGUUUUUUUCCUAUUAAGGAAACAGAAAAUGUUUCUUAAUUGUAAGAAAUUUCUUCAUUUCUGUCCUGAAAAUGACAUUUUAAUUCAAAUACAGUAACAGGGAAGUGAUGGUUCAGCAAAGAGAGAGCAGAAAAUGGUUCAUUGGACUGAAACCUUCUUGAAUUAGCAGGGACUGACAGCCUUUUCAUUUGAGAAAAUACUUGCCAUCAUCAGUCCAGUUACCAGUGGGUUGAUGCUCACUCAGAAAAACAUGAUCAUAUUGCUGGAAGUAUGAGCAGAGAUGCCAAAGAAAGUGUGAAUAUAUAGUGCUCAGUAAUCUCUCACACAUCUAGAAAUGCAUCUUCGUAAGACACUUCUUUGUACAAAGAUCCAUCGACAGGAUCAUAAAUUCCUUAUAUACGUAAUGAACCAAAAAACUGUCUUGGAUCCUGCCAAGCAAUAGAUGGCAUAGGUUUCUCUGUCAUUAUUCUCAGAAAAAUGCCAUCACAUUUUUCAGAGGUCUCAGCAGGGAAGUCUAAGACCCUGUGACUAUACAGCGCCCAUGAACUUGUCCUUCAGCCUGCAAUGCUGUGAGCCCUUGGAUAUGCCAAAGAGACCACAUUCCUAGGAGACAGGGGAAAGAAAAUGGAAAAAAAAUUAGGCCACAGUGAAGCCUUUCUAAAAAGUGCUGGGGGAACCAUUGCUUAUCAUGAUAGUGACAAACUUCUGAGGUAUGUUGUCUUGUACUUAGGAAUUCUGAGCAGGAAUGGAAGUGAUCGUAUCCGUAACUGAAGUGUAAGAUACAAGUACGUCUUAAACAAAGAGAAGUCUGCAAUACUGCAGACUAUAGGCAGCACUUACCUGCCUAGGCUCUUCCCAUCUUAAUGAUUAGUCACUGAUUUUUAUGUGUAUCCUUGCGAGCAAGCAUAUGUACACAGACCCGAACUACCGUACCUUUCACAAUAGACAGGCAUAUGCUGAUACAGACUGUGCUUUUUUUUGAAACCAUGCCACAGCAUUUUUAGCACAGCUUUAUAAAGCUUCUCAUGCAAGUGAAAGGCUCACUCCUUGUUAAGUAGCAUGUCACAGGAAACCAAGGAAAGGAAAACCACUGUGCACCUCUUCUUAUAAUUUCCAUUUAUCAAAUCUUUAGCAAUAUUUUUACUGAUAACUCUGUUUUGUCUCUACUAGGACAUCUAGAAGUAGUAAAAUCAUUUUUCUUUUUGCAUGAAGAGUAUCUUAAAGUGUACCGUAGCUUUGAAGAGACAAUUAGUAUUUUGACCCCCUGUUAUUAAUUCCUUAAUUUCCCUGUUGCAGCCUUGAGGAUUCUCCCUUGUUCCUCCUCCAAGUCCAGGAAUCCAUGUAUGAAGCGUAUUACUUAAUUUCAAUUACAAUGUUAAUUAUAGAAGACAAGCGGUUACUGAAUCUUGCACCAUAAUUAAUCAACCUGAUAUUUACUUACUACAUUGUUCCUACCGGAUUAAGCUGUAGCUAGACAAGCAGGGCAAGGAAAGUGAGCGACAGAAGCAUUAUCAUGGCACACUGCCUCCCAUUGGGAAAGUUCAUCGUCCUUCUCAAAGAGACGCCUUCAGGGAUCAUGUAAUUUGAAUUCCCUGUGAAUUUGGUGUCAUCUUAGCUUGACCAGCUCUGGAAGAACAUAUUAACCUCCCCUUGUGAUUUUCAGAAAACCAUUCUAAUUUAGCAAGUAAUUAAGGGUCACAUGUAGGAUAAGGAGCUGGAUAAGCUUGGAUUACGCACAGGAAGCUUUGUCUCCACGGCAACCCCGGCGGAGAGCUGCUGGCACCGGGGUCAGGCCGUCACUGAAGCCCGCGCUGCGUUUCCACCUGGUGAGCCAGUGCUGGAAACAAACGCCCACAAAGCUGGUCAUCGCCAAAAACUCCAGGACAAAGGCUGCAGCCAGUGGGAGUGUUCUGCCGAGCGAGGUAGAGAGAAGUCCACAACAGUGACGCUUGACAGACCCCGUGUCUUUGUAAGCUAAAAUUUCUUCGGUCAUCAUCCAUGGCUUUCGCUCUGCGUGAAGCAGCCGGUGUCUGCGCAAGCUGCUGCCGCUAACGCUUGGCCUCCGAGCCCGACGUCAGCCUCUGGCUGGCUGCGGGCCGUGCCCACGGGCGGCAGGGCACGGGGCACCCCAGCUCAGGGCAUGACGCCCCGUCCCAGGGCUGCAGGCUCUCGGAGACAAUCUCCUAGAUCUGUCGGGGCAGGCACGGUGGGUUAACUCCACAGGCAUGGCUAAAAUAUCCAAGCAGCUCGUUCGGACACGUACCUUUUAUUUUUAGCUUUGAAACCAGGAAAACAACGUUUUUCUUUCUCGCUCUGGAGGAACUUUCAGAUUUCUAUCAAAUUUAAAAUCAACUCCCCUGACUUCAGAAAUUCCUUGUUCUCACCAGCUUUUAUUUCUAUGAAAAUAUACAGGCUUUCCAGUGGAAGAGGCUUUUUAACAAGCAAAUAAGUUAACAUUUUCUGUUAACGUUGCUUAAUGUAAGAAACAUUAGGGAAUCCAAUUAUUGUGCUAUAAAGCAGCAUUACUGAAAUAUUAUAGGGUACAAAGAGUACCUAUUUGAUGACCUAUUGGAUAUGAAAUGCUUUCUGAAUUCGUUUGUACCUUAGCUAUCUCCUGUGAUCUGUGAGGGAAAGAACCACGCAGGUUUUUUUCAAAGCUCUCUUCAAAACAAAUAAGCAUUCUCUACUUUUUGCUAAAAUCAGAUGACAUUGUCAUACUAUCCAUUUUAACAGUUGGGCCCAUUCUUGGAUCUGGAAUGCAGGUACAUCUAACUUUAUACCAUAAUUUUUGUAAAUGCGUCUCCGUUGUGGAUAUAUAAAUGAGGACAAUUUUUAUUUCACCUUCUCUCUGCUAUUUUCAUGUGCAGCCUUUGUUUUGCAGUAGACCACUGCUGGCACUGCGGGAAUUGAGACACUCCACUCUCUCGAACAUGUACAUUAGAACUUGCCAUAAAAAGAAGACUGUGAUGAAGGUGAGCUGAGAACCUGUCAUGUUUGUGGCGGCCACUGGCCCCAGCGAGUCUCCAGUGAGCGUUACAUAUACUGCUGCUCACAGAAAACUGACCAAAGGAGAGCACUGCAAGGAGGAGAGAUCUGGAAAACACAGCUGUCAGUAAAGGCACACUUCUUACAUCAGUAAAGAUUAGAUGAAGGGGAGCACACCACAGCCCAUCAAACAUAAAAAUGGUUCUUUUUUUAAAAAAAAAAAACACAAAACAGAAACAAAUUUACCUUCUGUGUCGACAAGUAACUGUUAAAAAGAAUAGUGGCUUUAAAUGAGUAUUGGUUUUAAACAGGAAAUUUUGUAUUUGUUACAACUGCAGAGUACCUGGAGAGAGUGCUGACAAGGCAUAGCAUCUCUGCACAGGCUUUAUUGGGAAAAGUGUCUGUGCUGCAGUGUCUGCUUGGCACUAUGCAGGACAGAUCAUCUCUGAGAAUUCCUUCCUUUCUAUCUGCUUCCUGUGAUAAUCCUUGCUCUGCUUUAUUCUUCGUAUUUCACAGUUCCAGGCUAAAAAAAGUCACAAUAGUAUCUAAUUCCUCAAGUGGUAUUACCAAGACAGUUAAAGGACUUCAGAAGUGUUGUUAGUAAUAAUUUGUUUGCACGUAAAAAUGCUGUACAGACUGAGAUAGGGACAGAGAACAUUCUCUGGUUAUUUUAUUAUUUUAUUUAUCGUGCUACAUCUUUGGUUCCCCUGGCCUGGACUAACAUUAGAGUUUCUAAAAUAAAGUAUCCUUGUUCAAACAUUAUUAUGAUGCCAUUUUGUUGCAGAAAAUGUUCUGUGGCUCUUCUCUUGGCUGCAAGUUGUCUUCCACACCUUGUGGUGCAUGGUAUGCUGUUGCAGGUGACUUCUGAGUGAGCUUAGGCAAAGCUUCAGCUGUGCUAAAAAUUGCUUGGAAGUUCACUGGCAUGAAUUUAUCUUGAUAUGGAACAAAUAAAAAUAUCCUGCCUGACUUAAAGUUCAGGCUGCAAAGUAAUUUUUGUACCUAUCUUCGUAUUAGUCAUAUUUAGUAUUUAGGCAGGAUCAGAAUCCCAACACCACUGAGAUACAAGGAAAGCUUUUAGCUUAACCUGAUUCCUGGCAGGUCUCAAUUCAGCAUCUGAUCUAGCAGAUGUACCAGCCAAAAUUUUACCAAGGGUAACAAGUGAGCCCUAGGAUCAAGUCGGACAUUCCACAGCUUAAGUAGUGAGAAAUGCGCAAACAAGGUUAUGGUGAGGCUUUGUAGCUCCCACAUGGCCCUCAGAUACUCUUCAGCAAGCUGUCGACUUCCACAAUGGUUCCAUUCCAGCCCUUUUCUUUUUAGCACUUUAGUUAAGGAAAUACUGUUAAUGCUGGUAUUCCAUAGUAAAGGAAGCAAAUGAUUUUCACUGUGCAGAAGGCUUUGUGUUCAUAUUUGCUCCAGUUCCCACAACAAAUAGCAGGCUAGUGAGCAAAAUCAUGAGUAUGAGGUAAAGGCAAGGCACAUCCCCCUCAGCCACCAGUUUAGGGAUGCCAUCACAGAUUUAAAAAAUGGCAGGAGACACCAUUUGCUAAUUAUUAUUCCCAGAUCAAAACUAAACCUUAGAAAUAAUGCUUAGUCAUAAAUUAACAAACAUUAGCCUAAGAGCGUUUGUGCUGAACUGACAUUUCCAAAGCGACCAAUAUUCAGGAAGAGACAUUUUCAGACUUUAUUGUACAGAGCAGCGGAAAGAAGGAUGAGGAAAGGCAGGGAAGUUUCACUCACCUGCCUCUCCUGUGCUACUUGCUUUCCCUGGGGACAUUACCAACGGCAGCAGUGACAGGCAAGUGGCUUUUCCACAUGAGAUGCUGUGCCACCGUACCGGGGAUACAGAGGGACAGCUGACAAACCCCCUCUCAGGUCAGAGAUGACAGAUUUGUUGUCCACUGGUGGUAGGAGCCACUGGCUCAGGUUCACCUGUGAGCUGGCCUGAAGGUACACCAAGGAACCAGUCCCAGCAGAAACAAAAGCCAAGAAGUUUUGAAUGAUUUGGAGAACUGGCUGGUGGUACUGAGCCUGUGACAGAGGGGACAAACUUGUCAUCAUCGGCCAACUUCUCUCCGGAGCCCAUACAUAUGACGUACAUGUGAAAAAUGCAACCUUGCACCUACUGAAAGAUCAUACCACAUGUCUGUGUAGACUAUAUGUAAACAGAUUCAGAAAUGGCAGAUUGUUUUCAGCAGUGAUGUUUGCAGCAUCCCGUUCAGAUAACUUGCAGGAUUAUUUUUGCCUGUUGCCAGGCAACAUCAGCAAUAGACCAGCUGCUUUUUGUACAUUCUCGCUAGGACUCGGAAUACUUUCAGUAGCAGGAAAUUCCAGAAUUGGUGUAGAAAUGCCGGAGGCAAUAUCAGCCCACCUACAAAAUAGGUGUAAGAUGCAGACUACUCAGCAUCACUCAAAGCCUUUUUUAGGAAAUGUGUAUGGAUAUGGCAAAACUGGGAUCUAGGAGCUCCAGAUGCAGUUGUAGUUAACCAUGCAGCCACUUGCAAGAGGUUUAAUACUAUGUACUCUAAUCAAAAUACUUUGCAUAAAACCGGCCAAAAAAAAAGUAAAAAAAAUAAAAACAUGCAAAGCAUUUUGAAAAAAGGGUAUUUAUCUUUUUCUUUUCUUCACGGGGUUCAAAAUAUUUAGGGUAUUUCCAUGUAUGAGUUGUUACUGAAAAUGACGUCCGAGUUGUUAAUUGCAUACCCUAUUUUAAAUAGCAAAAGACCAAAGUUUAAGUUUGCAAAACGCCGAAAGCCGAAGCCAGGAGAACGGCAGCACGCUCGCCACCAAGCAAGGGCCCCUGUCCUUCUAAAGGGGCGCUUGCAGGUGGGCGUGACACAGCUGCUCGCGCCUCGCUUUACGAGGACAGCGAGUUACUUCGAACCAGCAACCUGCCGUGGUUUCGGGGCCCAGCCCACCGCGGCAGCGCCGGCACGCGGUGCUGCCGCCUCGGCCUCGCCUGUGCCGCGCCCGCCCCGCCGCCGUGCCCAGGCGAUGCCGGCCUCUCCCGCGGCCGGCAAAGCGGCGGGGGACGAACGCACCCGCCUCGCCUGCGUUUUUCUGCUUGAGGUGUAAGCCGCCCCUCCGCAGCCUCUGUCGGCGGGGAGGAAUGUAGCGGAAUCCUUAAGCAAACAGAAGUCUUCCGGUUUUUGGUCUUCAGGAAUACUGAUGUUUCCACAAUACUGGGCUUGCCCUUUGAAGCCAUACCAGGAAGCAUGCAAGAGAAGCAUCUUUAGGAGUGCGUAUGUUCAGUUACCACCUUGUGUGAAGAUGUGGCCGAGAAGGCUGUUGAGGUGGCUGAGGAAAGAGAAGGGGACUGACAGGUGUGACCCUUGCAGUGCCAUGCAAAAGAUCCCUUCUGCUGUCUCCCACCCUUUGCAGCACUUUGGGACCAGCUUGUUUGGCCUUCUGGUUCAGAAGUUGUGUCGGCUACAUCUGUGCUCCAGACGAAACAGCACCAGGAGCUGCUUUCUGCCACAAGGCCAUUUAGCACAGGUUGGAUAAUAAGUAUUUCUCUAAGCCAUGUGAAGGCUUCAGUCCAGGGAUUUUUCUCAGUGUAACGUACACUGCCAAAUUUAGGCUUCUCCUACCGUCCAACAGCUUUCUCCCCCAGGUCCAUGUUAGUCUACUGACUGAAGUACGUGCUCAAGAAGCAAGAUAACCAGUCCAAUUAUCUCCUCAUCUACAGGAAGUACACACAUUUCAAAUUAUCACACCAUGUCUUUUUAGGAGAAAGGGUAAGGAAUGGUUCUUGCCAUCCACUUCUUUCCUUUUGAAGCAGGGCAUUAUGCAGAAAAAGAGCCAGAGAAGGCAGACAGGACCCUUGUGCUGGGAGCUGGAGGUGCAUUUGGUCUCUGCUGUCUUUGUAUUUCAUGCUUGUAUGAAAAAAAAAAAAUGUACUAGGAACAGAGACCAGGAGCCAGGAGUCUUCUCUCCAGGGCAGGUGUCCUUGCUGCAGGAUACCGCGAUUGUAGGAGUCACCUAAAGAGCUCAGCCUCUGCUCCAUCUGGUCCAGGGACUAUCAGACAUGGAGAGCGGCUAAGGAGCCCUUGCAACGAAUGAGCAAGUCAUAUGUGGUGAAUCCAGUAAAUCUGCAUGGCUGCAUAGUGGCUCAGUGAAAAACUGGGCUCAGUCUGAGUGCUGAUCCCAAGCCACAGCCUGAAGACACUGUAGGACACACAGAUGGAAUCUGACACAUGCCUGUGCUCAGGCAGAAGGCUUAAGUGGAUGUAUGAGCAGCAAGAAUCACAACCAAAACACACUAUGAGGAUCGACUGAAGUGGCAGUUGACAUACAUUUUCAUGCCUCAGCAAGUAUGGAACAAAAAGCAACGACAGAAUCUGGGUAUACAGGGCAGGCACAAGGAGAUUGGCGAGGGGAAGGUGUACAUAGAGUAAAAGGCCAGCAGAGCUCUGAGGCAAUGGGCCAGGCACGGAGGUCUCCAGGGAAGCUUGUGCUGCACAAAGAGCUGGGAUGGCCUGGCUCUGAUCUUGCUGGUCCACAGCAGGCACCUUGAGGCUGUGCUUCAUGGCACAGACAUGCUGUGUUAGGCAGCAGCCAUGUACUCCCUGACAGCUGCUGCGUGCUGUUAAAGACCUUAACACCUUUGUGCUGGUAAACUGCUUGUGAGGCCACGUAAUGAGUUAGGUGAAGGAACUGAGGUUAAAAAUAGCUGUUUCCCCCUUCUUUGACAGGUUAAUUUCAAGUUCCCUGAUGCAAUUCAUUGCACUGUGCCACCUGUCCAUGUACUAGCACUGUUGGGCAGGAGGAAGCAGAGAAGGAUGCGAUGAGAUCGCAUGACCACUGAAUCAUACAAUGGUUUGGGUUGGAAGAGACUUUAAAGAUCUAAUUCCAACCCCUCUGCCAUGGGCAGGGACACCUCACACUAAAUCAGGUUGCUCAAAGCUCCAUCCAGCCUGGCCUUGAACACUUCCAGGGAUGGGGCAUCCACAGCUUCUCUGGGCAACCUGUCCCAGUGCCUCAAUUUCCUCCUUAUAUCUAAUCUAAGCCUACCCUCUUUUAGUUUAAAGCCAUUGAGUGGCUAAGAUGAAAGGAUCUUUGCCACUGAUGGAAAUGCUGGCCUCUCCUUGAGUAGGAGACAGUGCAGAGCAACUUUAAGUAAGCACAUGCACCUGAAGAGCAUGUCUUUACCAUCCAUUUAUGAAGAAGGAUUCUCAACAGAGGCAGUCAGUUUCAAACUGGAGAAUUAACUACACAGUGACGAAUGAUUGCUGGUCAGAGCUCUUACACUCCAGGCAGCGAGAGUGUUAAACCAACAUGGCCCAUGCAGACGAGACUGCAGUGUGUGAGUGCCCCCUUUUGUUCUAAUGAGACUUUGAGAGCUGUAAGGGAAUCACAAGAAAGGUGUCACAGCGCUGAAAGGUGACUUUUACAGCUAGCUGGAAAAGUGGCCUGUAACAGGGGAGGCUGACAAAACCAGGAAGGUGGCUGACAAAGCCCUGGUACUGGAAGAACAGUACAAGGAAAAUCAAGAGACAUCUGCAACCACAGGGCAGAAACGUGAGCAAGCAGAACCUCUUUCUGCAUUAUACUG